CAGCCUUCAUGGCCCUUUGGCUAAGGUCAAGUGUAGUAUCUGUUCUUAUCAGUAUAAUAUCUGAUACGUCCCCUACCCGGGGACCAUAAAUUAAAUUCUUUUAUUGCGCAAGGAGAUGGAGCAGGCGCUUGUGCUGUCCACUCUACGCAUCGACCUAGUAGAGGCGGUGCUUGAACC
rnacentral:snRNA from 1 species